rnacentral:snoRNA from 1 species
CUCCAUGAUGAUGCAUAUCACGACGGUCAACAUAAACCACAAGUUGGUACAAAUUGAUGAGGAUGCCUUUGACAAGGCGCUUUGAUCUGAUU